rnacentral:rRNA from 1 species
UACAGAGGUCUCAAGCGUUGUUCGGAUUCAUUGGGCGUAAAGGGUGCGUAGGCGGCGCGGUAAGUCGGGUGUGAAAUCUUGGAGCUUAACUCCGAAACUGCAUUCGAUACUGCCGUGCUUGAGGACUGGAGAGGAGACUGGAAUUUUACGGUGUAGCGGUGAAAUGCGUAGAUAUCGUAAGGAAGACCAGUGGCGAAGGCGGGGUCUCUGGACAGUUCCCUGACGCUGAGGCACGAAGGCCCAGGGGAGCAAAACGGGG